GGGCAUGUGGCGGAAUUGGCUUACGCGUAGCACUCAAAAUGCUAUGGCCUCACGGCCGUGUGGGUUCGAGUCCCACCAUGCCCA
rnacentral:tRNA from 1 species